GCAAGUCGAGCGAAGUAUAUCUAAGUGAAGUUUUCGGACGGAACUAAGAUAUAUUUUAGCGGCGGACGGGUGAGUAACGCGUGAGCAACCUACCUUUCACAAAGGGAUAGCCUCGGGAAACUGGGAUUAAUACCAUAUAAAACUUACCUUUCUCAUGAAAGGAAAGUCAAAGCGAUAAGCGGUGAAAGAUGGGCUCGCGUCCUAUUAGCUAGUUGGUGAGGUAACGGCUCACCAAGGCGACGAUAGGUAGCCGGCCUGAGAGGGUGAACGGCCACACUGGAACUGAGACACGGUCCAGACUCCUACGGGAGGCAGCAGUGGGGGAUAUUGCACAAUGGAGGAAACUCUGAUGCAGCGACGCCGCGUGAGUGAAGAAGGCCUUCGGGUCGUAAAGCUCUGUCCUAGGGGAAGAUAAUGACGGUACCCUAGGAGGAAGCCCCGGCUAACUACGUGCCAGCAGCCGCGGUAAUACGUAGGGGGCGAGCGUUGUCCGGAAUUACUGGGCGUAAAGAGUUCGUAGGCGGUCUGAUAAGUCAGAUGUGAAAGGCGUAGGCUCAACCUAUGUAAGCAUAUGAAACUGUCAGACUUGAGGUAAGGAGAGGAAAGUGGAAUUCCUAGUGUAGCGGUGAAAUGCGUAGAUAUUAGGAGGAAUACCAGUGGCGAAGGCGACUUUCUGGACU
rnacentral:rRNA from 1 species